AUGGAGAGGACCAGGAGGCUGUUCGAGACGGAGACGAACGGGGGCCGGGCAGUGUACAGGCACCACGCCGUCACGGUGGCCGCCGGGAUACUGCUGGUGCUCUACUACCGGGCGACGCGCGUGCCGGCCGCCGGCGAAGGGAGGCGGCGUGGCUGGGCAUGCUGGCGGCGGAGCUCUGGUACGCCGCCUACUGGGCCGUCACGCAGUCCGUGCGCUGGAGCCCCCUCCGCCGCCGCCCCUACAGGGACAGGCUCGCCGCCAGGUCAGUACGACGUCCGGGGGCUAAGGUAUGGAGAGAGGCUACCUUAUGUGGAUAUCUUUGUAUGCACCGCAGAUCCACACUCAGAGCCACCAAGUCUUGUCAUCUCCACCAUCCUAUCGCUCAUGGCAUACAAUUACCCAGCCGAAAAAAUUAGUGUGUACCUUUCUGACGACGGAGGUUCGAUUCUCACUUUCUAUGCUCUGUGGGAGGCCUCCUUAUUUGCAAAGCAUUGGAUACCAUUCUGCAAGAGAUAUAACAUUGAGCCAAGGUCACCAGCCGCUUACUUCUCAGAGUCAGAUGGGCAUCAAGAUUUGUGCAGCCCAAAGGAAUGGUCACUUAUCAGGGAGAUGUAUGAAGAUAUAACUCAGCGAAUUGAUAGAGCUGUUUUGUCAGGUAAAAUUUCAGAGGAAGUCAAAGCAAAUCAUAAAGGAUUUCAUGAAUGGGAUCAAGAAAAUACCUCAAAAAAUCACCAGCCAAUUGUUCAGAUUCUGAUGGAGGGCAAAGACAAAAAUGCAAAUGAUGACGAAGGAAAUGUGCUACCAACACUUGUGUACAUGGCACGGGAGAAGCGGCCUCAGCACCACCAUAAUUUCAAAGCUGGGGCAAUGAAUGCUCUGAUAAGAGUGUCAUCAGUGAUAAGCAACAGCCCUAUCAUCAUGAAUGUGGACUGUGAUAUGUAUUCCAACAAUUGCGAUACAAUCAGAGAUGCACUGUGUUUCUUCCUUGAUGAAGAAAUGGGUCACAAGAUUGGAUUUGUGCAAUUCCCCCAGAACUAUAACAAUUUGACCAAGAAUAAUAUAUAUGGGAACUCCCACCAAGUCACCAAUCAGCUACCCAAUCUAAAGGUGCUAAUGGGUGGUAUGGACAGUGUGGGCGGUCCUAUGUAUGUUGGCACUGGAUGUUUCCACAGAAGGGAGAUCCUUUGCGGAAGGAGGUUCACCGAAGACUACAAGGAGGACUGGAACGGAGGAAUCAAGGACAAAACACAAGAGAGCAUAGUUGAGAUUGAAGAGAAAGCGAAGUCUUUAGCAGCCUUGAUUCCUCCGUUCCAUAAUUAUUGUCGUGGCCGGAGGGAGUAG
rnacentral:rRNA from 1 species